UACGUAGGGGCGUAGCGUUAUCCGGAAUUACUGGGCGUAAAGGGCGUGUAGGCGGGUCGGCAAGUCGGGUGUGAAAUUUACAGGCUUAACCUGUAACGGUCAUCCGAAACUGCUGAUCUUGAGUGUCGGAGAGGAAAGUGGAAUUCCUAGUGUAGCGGUAAAAUGCGUAGAUAUUAGGAGGAACAUCAGUGGCGAAGGCGACUUUCUGGACGAUAACUGACGCUGAGGCGCGAAAGCGUGGGGAGGCAAACAGGAUUAGAUACCCUGGUAGUCCCUGAG
rnacentral:rRNA from 1 species